rnacentral:rRNA from 1 species
UGCCAGCAGCCGCGGUAAUACGGAGGGUGCGAGCGUUAUCCGGAUUCAUUGGGUUUAAAGGGUGCGCAGGCGGGCUUGUAAGUCAGUGGUGAAAUCUUGCCGCUUAACGGCAAAAUUGCCAUUGAUACUGCGAGUCUUGAAUAUGGUUGAGGUAGGCGGAAUGUGUCGUGUAGCGGUGAAAUGCAUAGAUAUGACACAGAACGCCAAUUGCGAAGGCAGCUUACUAAGCUACGAUUGACGCUGAGGCACGAAAGCGUGGGGAGCGAACAGGAUUAGAUA